AUUGAACGCUGGCGGCAGGCCUAACACAUGCAAGUCGAACGAGUGGCGGACGGGUGAGUAAUGUCUGGGAAACUGCCCGAUGGAGGGGGAUAACUACUGGAAACGGUAGCUAAUACCGCAUACCAUCGGAUGUGCCGAGAUGGGAUUAGCUAGGCGGUGGGGUAACGGCUCACCUAGGCGACGAUCCCUAGCUGGUCUGAGAGGAUGACCAGCCAAACUGGAACGGAGACACGGUCCAGACUCCUACGGGAGGCAGCAGUGGGGAAUAUUCCGCAAUGGGCGAAAGCCGGAUGGAGCAACGCCGCGUGAGUGAAGAAGGCUUUCGGGUAGUAAAGUACUGUCAUCAGGGAAGCGUUACUCGCAGAGAAAGCACCGGCUAACUCCGUGCCAGCAGCCGCGGUAAUAC
rnacentral:rRNA from 1 species